rnacentral:lncRNA from 1 species
UUGAUCUCUAUUUUGUGCUCUAAGUAGUAGCUUCUCUACUUCGUUAAUUCUAGAUUUCACAAAAUUAUUCGAAGUAUUCUUUAUUAAAAGAUAGAUUUCUCUACCAUAUUUUCUCAAAUUUAUUAAAGCUUCAUUAAUCCUUCUUAUAAUUAUUAUGGUUUCCCAAAAUUUUCUUCUAAGUUUUUGUAAUUGUGGUUGUACCACUCUCAUGAUAAUAAAUAUAAACAAUUCAUAAUUUUAUAUUCCCUAUAGGUACUUAGUAAUAUGUAUGAAGGUAUAGAGUAAAUAUGAAAAUAGACUUUUCUUAUGCUAAUAUGUUCAUGAAAUGGUAGAUUUUAUGCAUAUAUCUUUCGACUUUCUUUUAUGUUAGCUAUAUCAACACCACAGUGCUUCUCCUUCCAGAUAUGAAGAACUUUUUAGCCUAUUGUGACUCACUGUCUUAGGCUACUGCUCCAUCCUUCCCCCGUUAAGGCUGAAGAUCGCAACCUUCAUUUUUUACCAGCACAAAAGAUUGGCAAAGGAUAUAUGAAACAAACUUUUUAUUUCUUGAACAUAUUACAACGUAGGAAAAAUCUUUAAUCAGAUUUUCUUUAUACUUACAUACACACUAUUUAUUACCUUUCCCUGACGGGAGAGGUGUCUCUUACUUACUCAUGUAGAAGAUACCUAGCAUUUUUCAAAGAAAGAGAAUAUUCA